CCUACGGGAGGCAGCAGUGGGGAAUCUUGCGCAAUGGGCGAAAGCCUGACGCAGCCAUGCCGCGUGUAUGAUGAAGGUCUUAGGAUUGUAAAAUACUUUCACCGGUGAAGAUAAUGACUGUAGCCGGAGAAGAAGCCCCGGCUAACUUCGUGCCAGCAGCCGCGGUAAUACGAAGGGGGCUAGCGUUGCUCGGAAUUACUGGGCGUAAAGGGAGCGUAGGCGGACAUUUAAGUCAGAGGUGAAAUCCCGGAGCUUAACUUCGGAACUGCCUUUGAUACUGGGUGUCUUGAGUGUGAGAGAGGUAUGUGGAACUCCGAGUGUAGAGGUGAAAUUCGUAGAUAUUCGGAAGAACACCAGUGGCGAAGGCGACAUACUGGCUCAUUACUGACGCUGAGGCUCGAAAGCGUGGGGAGCAAACAGGAUUAGAUACCCUGGUAGUCCACGCCGUAAACGAUGAUUGCUAGUUGUCGGGAAGCUUGCUUCUCGGUGACGCAGCUAACGCAUUAAGCAAUCCGCCUGGGGAGUACGGUCGCAAGNUUAAAACUCAAAUUGAAUUGACGGCGUGAGAGNGCGAGACGACACGAGGAGAGG
rnacentral:rRNA from 1 species